rnacentral:rRNA from 1 species
UACGAAGGGGGCUAGCGUUGCUCGGAAUCACUGGGCGUAAAGCGCACGUAGGCGGAUUCUUAAGUCGGUGGUGAAAUCCUGGAGCUCAACUCCAGAACUGCCUUCGAUACUGGGAGUCUUCGAGUCCGGGAGAGGUGAGUGGAACUGCGAGUGUAGAGGUGAAAUUCGUAGAUAUUCGCAAGAACACCAGUGGCGAAGGCGGCUCACUGGCCCGGUACUGACGCUGAGGUGCGAAAGCGUGGGGAGCAAACAGG